UACGUAGGGUGCGAGCGUUGUCCGGAAUUAUUGGGCGUAAAGAGCUCGUAGGCGGUGUGUCGCGUCGGCCGUGAAAACCUGGGGCUUAACUCUGGGCGUGCGGUCGAUACGGGGCAUCACUAGAGUUCGGCAGGGGAGACUGGAAUUCCUGGUGUAGCGGUGAAAUGCGCAGAUAUCAGGAGGAACACCGGUGGCGAAGGCGGGUCUCUGGGCCGAUACUGACGCUGAGGAGCGGAAAGCAUGGGUAGCGAACAGG
rnacentral:rRNA from 1 species